UGAACUAAAGUAGGUGAAGAAUUUAUUGAUCAAGGCUUGAAGAAGUUGGCAUGUAACCCUUUAGUAGCUAAAGUCCACACUGCAGCUAUUACCACUAUGACACUCAAAGCCAAGCCUAAGCAACCAAGCCCCAAAUUAAAACACCACAUGAAACCAUUUCUACGUGGUUUCUUGAUUGAUAUCCACAUGAAACUUGGGUAAGCAAAGGUGAGAGGUAGUGCCAUUCCUCCUAUUAAACUUGCAAGACUAGGCAAAAAUGGGAAAGCAACUGCUACCAAGAAUGCUAAACCUCCGAAUAAAAGACGCAAACCUGUUCGAAC
rnacentral:misc_RNA from 1 species